GAUGAACGCUGGCGGCGUGCCUAAUACAUGCAAGUCGAGCGAACAGAUGAGGAGCUUGCUCCUCUGACGUUAGCGGCGGACGGGUGAGUAACACGUGGAUAACCUACCUAUAAGACUGGGAUAACUUCGGGAAACCGGAGCUAAUACCGGAUAAUAUAUUGAACCGCAUGGUUCAAUAGUGAAAGACGGUUUUGCUGUCACUUAUAGAUGGAUCCGCGCCGCAUUAGCUAGUUGGUAAGGUAACGGCUUACCAAGGCAACGAUGCGUAGCCGACCUGAGAGGGUGAUCGGCCACACUGGAACUGAGACACGGUCCAGACUCCUACGGGAGGCAGCAGUAGGGAAUCUUCCGCAAUGGGCGAAAGCCUGAGGGAGCAACGCCGCGUGAGUGAUGAAGGUCUUCGGAUCGUAAAACUCUGUUAUUAGGGAAGAACAAAUGUGUAAGUAACUAUGCACGUCUUGACGGUACCUAAUCAGAAAGCCACGGCUAACUACGUG
rnacentral:rRNA from 1 species